GACGAACGCUGGCGGCGUGCUUAACACAUGCAAGUCGAACGGUAAGGCCCUUCGGGGUACACGAGUGGCGAACGGGUGAGUAGCACGUGGGUGAUCUGCCCUGCACUUCGGGAUAAGCCUGGGAAACUGGGUCUAAUACCGGAUAGGACCACUGCCUGCAUGGGUGGUGGUGGAAAGCAUUUGAGGUGUGGGAUGGGCCGGCGGCCUAUCAGCUUGUUGGUGGGGUGAUGGCCUACCAAGGCGACGACGGGUAGCCGGCCUGAGAGGGUGACCGGCCACACUGGGACUGAGAUACGGCCAAGACUCGUACGGGAGGCAGCAGAGGGGAAUAUUGCACAAUGGGCGCAAGCCUGAUGCAGCGACGCCGCGUGAGGGAUGACGGCCUUCGGGUUGUAAACCUCUUUCAGCACCGACGAAGCGCAAGUGACGGUAGGUGCAGAAGAAGGACCGGCCAACUACGUGCCAGCAGCCGCCGUAAAAC
rnacentral:rRNA from 1 species